rnacentral:lncRNA from 1 species
CUUACGAGUUUUUCCGUUGGUGCGUGGUGCUUUGCUUUGCUUUGUGGAAUCUAUUUUUCCUACGAAGUGAAAAAAGUGAUAAGAAGGAAUUCCUCUUCCAAAUAUUCGUCCGGGAUUUGCUGCAAGAGUUUCGCCAGGGAUUUGCUCCAGGAAUCCCUUCGGAUUCUGAAGUCGAACUUUUCUAUCAUGGAUUGGUAUGAUGAAAUAGUUGACAGUGCAAUAGCAUUCUCUCCUUUCCUAAUGGACAAUGAAGACGAUGACGUGAUGAUCAAUUUACUGAUGGAAAAUUCAGAAAACUCACCUGUACGGCGCGGGUCACGGCCAGGAAGGCGUCCAAACAUCGAUCGUAACUUUCAAUUAGGACAUCGCCUGUUAUUUGAUGACUACUUUCGCGAAAAUCUAACGUACGAUGAGAAACACUUUAUUCGACGAUUCCGCAUGACGAAAGUUAUGUUUUUAAAAAUC